CGGCGCACGGGUGCGUAACGCGUAUGCAAUCUACCUUUCACAGAGGGAUAGCCCAGAGAAAUUUGGAUUAAUACCUCAUGGUAUUAUGAAAUGGCAUCAUUUUAUAAUUAAAGUCACAACGGUGAAAGAUGAGCAUGCGUCCCAUUAGCUAGUUGGUAAGGUAACGGCUUACCAAGGCUACGAUGGGUAGGGGUCCUGAGAGGGAGAUCCCCCACACUGGUACUGAGACACGGACCAGACUCCUACGGGAGGCAGCAGUGAGGAAUAUUGGACAAUGGGCGCAAGCCUGAUCCAGCCAUGCCGCGUGCAGGAUGACGGUCCUAUGGAUUGUAAACUGCUUUUAUACGAGAAGAAACACUCCCUCGUGAGGGAGCUUGACGGUAUCGUAAGAAUAAGGAUCGGCUAACUCCGUGCCAGCAGCCGCGGUAAUACGGAGGAUCCGAGCGUUAUCCGGAAUCAUUGGGUUUAAAGGGUCCGUAGGCGGUUUAAUAAGUCAGUGGUGAAAGCCCAUCGCUCAACGGUGGAACGGCCAUUGAUACUGUUAGACUUGAAUUAUUAGGAAGUAACUAGAAUAUGUAGUGUAGCGGUGAAAUGCUUAGAGAUUACAUGGAAUACCAAUUGCGAAGGCAGGUUACUACUAAUUGAUUGACGCUGAUGGACGAAAGCGUGGGUAGCGAACAGGAUUAGAUACCCUGGUAGUCCACGCCGUAAACGAUGGAUACUAGCUGUUGGAAGCAAUUUCAGUGGCUAAGCGAAAGUGAUAAGUAUCCCACCUGGGGAGUA
rnacentral:rRNA from 1 species